CUGUUCUAGGUAUUCAUGGAUACCUACGUGGCUUCCACCUUCUGGCUACUGUGAAUAAUGCUUCUAUAAACGCUUCCUCUAAAAUCAAGAAGGUCAAGGAGGAUGGCAAAAAAGUCCCUAUGAUGCAAGAAAGUGGAAAUAACUGGGCCUAACCACGUAACAGUUUCAUUACACUUACAGAAAAGGAAUGAGGACAUGGAGGUCAAGAGAAAUAAAAU